ACACAUGACCAGUUUACCCAUAUAAAUUACGGGGCUCUCAUACAGUAAUAGUGGGACAAAUUGCCAAGACCACAACUUCUUCAUCAUGUCAUCUCUUCUCUGGCUCACCUUCGCCUUCAUGGUGCUCUCGGCAGUGCACUGUUACCCCUCAGAGCAGGGUUCUUCUGAAAUUUUUUCUGUACAGGAGAAGGACCCAAUCUAUGACAACAGUCUGGAUGAAGACGAAAGUGAUAUUUCAACUUUAAUUGAGAAAGCAAACAAGAUUGGG